AGGUUGUUGUGAUAGAUCAAAUGUUGUCAAAUAAGGAAAACAAUGCUGUUGUAACUCCAACAAAAGUGAUUUCAGAUUGCAAAGAACCAUGAAAGCCGCUCCAGACUUUGGUUCAGAAUCCAAGUGCAUUAAAUGUUACUGGUGGAGAUUCACCAAUCCUUGGUUGUGUGAAGAACAACUCGCUUGCUAGGAGACUGUAGUAUUGCAAUAAUGAUGCUUAUGAUGUGUUACGCACCCAAUCUGAAUUGAGUCCUACGGAUAAGGCUAUUGUGAUGCAAUGCUUUCAAAAU